rnacentral:rRNA from 1 species
CACGUAGGGUGCGAGCGUUGUCCGGAAUUAUUGGGCGUAAAGAGCUCGUAGGCGGUGUGUCGCGUCGGCCGUGAAAACCUGCAGCUUAACUGUGGGCGUGCGGUCGAUACGGGCAUCACUGGAGUUCGGCAGGGGAGACUGGAAUUCCUGGUGUAGCGGUGAAAUGCGCAGAUAUCAGGAGGAACACCGGUGGCGAAGGCGGGUCUCUGGGCCGAUACUGACGCUGAGGAGCGAAAGCAUGAGUAGCGAACAGG